GGGCCCGUAGCUCAGCAAGGAUAGAGCAUCGGUGGGACGCAGGUGGCGUGUGGGCCUGGUCUCGAUGAGGCUUUUAUCCCGCUGGAAGAGACCCGGUGGUCGUGGGUUCAAUUCCCGCCGGGCCCG
rnacentral:tRNA from 1 species